rnacentral:tmRNA from 1 species
GGGGGCGAAUUGGAUUCGACCGGAUUCACGGAGCUUCGGUGGCGUGUCGUGGUUGGUCAGUUGGCCACGUAAAAAGCUGACUACAAACUUAAGUGCCGAGGAAUCCCUCGCAUUGGCUGCCUAACAACAGGUAGCCCCGACUGCGGGCCCUAGCCGGUUGGGCUCAAAAGUCGGUCGCCAAAUCCGGCUCGCCUCGAGUCAUGCCGAGCACGCUCGAGGUCAAAAAACCCCGUUUUCGGCUGGUCAUUCCGGUGGUUUGCCGACGGAACGCCGGGUGACGAGAACUAAGCCAUCGGCUACGCACGUAGAGGCCGCAGUCGAGUGUUCUUGGGACGCGGGUUCAAUUCCCGCCGCCUCCAUUU